CCUACGGGGGGCAGCAGUGGGGAAUAUUGGGCAAUGGGCGCAAGCCUGACCCAGCAACGCCGCGUGAAGGAAGAAGGCUUUCGGUUUGUAAACUUCUUUUAAGGGGGAAGAGCAGAAGACGGUACCCCUUGAAUACGCCACGGCUAUCUACGUGCCAGCAGCCGCGGUUAUACGUAGGUGGCAAGCGUUGUCCGGAUUUACUGGGUGUAAAGGGCGUGUAGCCGGGUUGACAAGUCAGAUGUGAAAUCCUGCGGCUUAACCGCAGAACUGCAUUUGAAACUGUUGAUCUUGAGUACUGGAGAGGCAGACGGAAUUCCGAGUGGAGCGGGGAAAUGCGUAGAUAUUAGGAGGAACACCAGUGGCGAAGGCGGUCUGCUGGACAGCAACUGACGGUGAGGCGCGAAAGCGUGGGGAGCAAACAGGAUUAGAUACCCGGGUAGUC
rnacentral:rRNA from 1 species